rnacentral:rRNA from 1 species
CUACGGAGGGUGCAAGCGUUACUCGGAAUCACUGGGCGUAAAGCGCGCGCAGGCGGUCUUUUAAGUUGGAUGUGAAAGCCUACAGCUCAACUGUAGAACUGCAUCCAAAACUAUUGGACUAGAGUCUGGGAGGGGAAGAUGGAAUUAGUUGUGUAGGGGUAAAAUCCGUAGAGAUAACUAGGAAUACCAAAAGCGAAGGCGAUCUUCUGGAACAGUACUGACGCUGAGGCGCGAAAGCGUGGGGAGCAAACAGGAUUAGAAACCCCAGUAGUCC